UGAAUUAUUUGGCCUUGUGUGAAUGCAGUUUUUUCAAAGGUAUCCUUCACUCAGUCAUGUGAAGCUCAAAUACAACACUUGAAAGAAACGUUAAACAUGUUUUCUUGUAUGUUAUCUUGUCUAUUUGUC